rnacentral:rRNA from 1 species
AGAGUUUGAUCCUGGCUCAGGACGAACGCUGGCGGCAUGCCUAAUACAUGCAAGUCGAACGCGGCCAUCCGGUGCUUGCACUGGUGAAGCCGAGUGGCGAACGGGUGAGUAACACGUGAGAAACCUGCCCUGGAGUGGGGAAUAACUCGAAGAAAUUCGAGCUAAUACCGCAUACCUUCUCUUCACCGCAUGGUGAGUUGAAGAAAGAUUUAUCGCUCUAGGAGGGUCUCGCGGCCUAUCAGCUAGUUGGUGAGGUAAUGGCUCACCAAGGCAUCGACGGGUAGCUGGUCUGAGAGGACGAUCAGCCACACUGGGACUGAGACACGGCCCAGACUCCUACGGGAGGCAGCAGUAGGGAAUCUUGCGCAAUGGGCGAAAGCCUGACGCAGCAAUGCCGCGUGCGGGACGAAGGCCCUAGGGUCGUAAACCGCUUUCAGUAGGGACGAAAAUGACGGUACCUGCAGAAGAAGCUCCGGCCAACUACGUGCCAGCAGCCGCGGUGAUACGUAGGGAGCAAGCGUUGUCCGGAAUUACUGGGCGUAAAGGGCUCGUAGGUGGUUGAGUAAGUCAGAUGUGAAAUCUCAGGGCCCAACCCUGAGCCUGCAUUUGAUACUGCUCUGACUAGAGUCCGGUAGGGGAGUGCGGAACUCCUGGUGUAGCGGUGAAAUGCGCAGAUAUCAGGAAGAACACCGACAGCGAAGGCAGCACUCUGGGCCGGUACUGACACUGAGGAGCGAAAGCAUGGGUAGCAAACAGGAUUAGAUACCCUGGUAGUCCAUGCCGUAAACGUUGGGCACUAGGUGUGGGGAGAACUCAACUCUCUCCGCGCCGUAGCUAACGCAUUAAGUGCCCCGCCUGGGGAGUACGGCCGCAAGGCUAAAACUCAAAGGAAUUGACGGGGGCCCG